rnacentral:rRNA from 1 species
GACCAACGCUGGCGGCAUGCCUAACACAUGCAAGUCGAACGGACAGAACAGGGAAGCUUUUCGGAGUGGAACUGGAAAGUUAGUGGCGGAUGGGUGAGUAACGCGUGGACAACCUACCUUGUAAAGGGGAAUAACCUCGAGAAAUCGAAGCUAAUACCCCAUAAUAACCUUGCUUCGCAUGAAGUAAGGAGGAAAGGCGGCCUUAGCGCUGUCGAUACAAGAUGGGUCCGCGUCUGAUUAGCUAGUUGGUGAGGUAAAGGCUCACCAAGGCGACGAUCAGUAGCCGGCCUGAGAGGGUGAACGGCCACAUUGGGACUGAGACACGGCCCAAACUCCUACGGGAGGCAGCAGUGGGGAACCUUCCGCAAUGGGCGAAAGCCUGACGGAGCAAUGCCGCGUGAGUGAAGAAGGCCUUCGGGUUGUAAAACUCUGUCCUUAUCGAAGAGAGAGUGUUGUAGUAACUGACAAUACUAGGACGGUAGAUGAGGAGGAAGCCCCGGCUAACUAUGUG